GUUUAAAUCUUUAAUUUUCUUAUGUGGGAGACAGACAUUAACUAAUACCAACCAAACCGUCAUUGACAAAAUCCAACGAUGCUAAAAUUAAUGAAUUUGUCUUCAUUCCCAAAUCCCAAGCUGUUUAAUUGAUUGAUUCGUCGAGUGCUGAAGGAUGACCGUCGGCCUUUAAGAGGAGUGAUUAUCGCCUUGUUUACUCCUUAUCAAAGUCGCAUUUGGGGGUCCCCCCAAGUAAAUCGCAUGGUUGAUGCUUAAUCUGAACUCAGAUCUCACCCCUAGUCCUAUGGUUGCUGACCUUCAAAAAAAAAAAAAAAAA
rnacentral:misc_RNA from 1 species